UGAGGAAUAUUGGUCAAUGGGCGGAAGCCUGAACCAGCCAAGUAGCGUGAGGGAUGACUGCCCUAUGGGUUGUAAACUUCUUUUACAAGGGAAUAAUUGUGGGUACGCGUACCCAUUUGCAUGUACCUUAUGAAUAAGGAUCGGCUAACUCCGUGCCAGCAGCCGCGGUAAUACGGAGGAUCCGAGCGUUAUCCGGAUUUAUUGGGUUUAAAGGGAGCGUAGGCGGGCGCUUAAGUCAGCUGUGAAAGUUUGGGGCUCAACCUUAAAAUUGCAGUUGAUACUGGGUGCCUUGAGUGCAGUAUAGGCAGGCGGAAUUCGUGGUGUAGCGGUGAAAUGCUUAGAUAUCACGAAGAACUCCUAUUGCGAAGGCAGCUUGCUGGAGUGUAACUGACGCUGAUGCUCGAAAGUGUGGGUAUCAAACAGGAUUAGAUACCCUGGUAGUCCACACAGUAAACGAUGAAUACUCGCUGUUUGCGAUAUACUGCAAGCGGCCAAGCGAAAGCGUUAAGUAUUCCACCUGGGGAGUACGCCGGCAACGGUG
rnacentral:rRNA from 1 species